UCUCUCCUCUCGUUCUCUCCCCUCUCGCUCAGAUCCACCCGUGCGAGCCCGCCUCCCAGCUCCAUCGUCGUGUGUGACCGGUGCCGGUGACCUUGCCUGCGCCGCCGCUGCGCCGACCACCGCUGGAUUUAACCUCGCGUGGGUGGUGGCUGCAUCUGUGGCGAGCACGUUGCGAAGUGGGAGGUGCUCCGAGCUUGGGAUUCGUCUGACUCGGCGGGGCUGGGAUGGCCACCCCGUGCGGCAGAUGGCAGCGGCUGGCCUGGCCGGCACGGCGGCGGUGCAGCCCUCCCCGUGGCUCGACCAAGCGCGGCGGGUGCUGCCUGCCUUGCGCGGCACACGGCCUGCCGGACGACGAUAGCUUGAUGGAGUGCAUCCUCCAUUCCCAACGGUGGCCUAAGCGCCCGUUCUCCCGACCGCGGCCACGGCGCCUUUCCUUUCCCCGACCCAUAGCGGCGCGUGCCCUCCCCUUCUCCAACCUGCGGCGGCGCUGCCCUGACCCGCAGCGGCGGCGCUGCCCUGACCCGCGGCGGCGGCGGCGCCCUGUCCCCCACCGGUGGCAGCGCCGGCGUCCUCUAAUGCCUGCCUCCACAUAUUGACCUCGAGAGCGGCUGCUCCGGCGACCACUCAGUGCACCGGGUGUUCAUGGACUCCAGCGGCAAGCACUUGUGAGGUGCCCGUGACCCAAGCCGCUCCCCUGCCUCCAGGGCCUCCUCGUUAAUGCCAUUGCCUGGAACCGCAAUCCAUCACGGAAGCAUCGACCAAGGCGGUGAUCCUAGGCACUUAGAGCGGCCAGAUCUUCUAGAUGGCCGUGGAUGAGGCUGAUAAGAGGGAGAAGUAUGUGAAGCCGCUCCUCGAACUCACUAAGCAAAGGGAGGGCAUCAAGGACCUACAGAUGGAGACUGGUGUGGUUGGAAAUUCCACAAGAUACUGUGUGAUGGCUGUCACUCCGAUCCCCACUGCCUUUACUUCUCUGAUCAAGAUGGAUGAUUCUAUGUGCCUCCAUUUUUAUUUUUAUGCGCUCCGGGCCAUGGCACUCAUGAGGCGGUCCAGUGUAUGACACAAUCCACCAGCUACACAUGCGAGGUGAUAAUAUUUUCUUGUUGUUGUUUGAUGAACUGAUAUGUGCUGCUUACUUGUUUCUAGGUAAGUUCCUGCGUUCUUCUCUGUAGAUCCCAAUUUCAAACCAAUUUCCAUUCCUUUUCUAUUCUGACUAUUCCACUCUAGGAGAAUUAAUUAAUCAUUGCUUGAACUGGAGCAGCAAGAAUAAGAGGAAGAAGAGAGACACCUGGAUGCAUAGAAAUUAAAAUCUUAUUUUAGGAUGCAUAAAAAUUAAAAUGUUAAUUUUUUAUGAAUAGAAAUAGACUUCUUUUUCAUGUAAGCUUGAGGCUUUCUUCUAUGCUUAACCUUGAUACAGUAUGAACAAAAUUGGAAAAUUAUUUUUUGGGUGUAUAGAAAUUGAAUUCUACUUGGAUGCAUAGAAACUUUUCGGAUGUAUUUAAAAUGUUCAGAUCUAGUCUUGACUCUAUGAAAUUUGAUUGCUUGUAUUUUUUUAGACUUGGAACACAGGGCUUGGCCCACCUCAUUGGCUCCGACAUGAUGCCUCUGUGAUGACUUCUGUGACUAGUUCUAUAUUUUUUUAUUUUUUACUUGGUUACUAUGGUUUCAUGCCUAAUUGUGUAUGCAUGAUGAAAUUGUGUUUUCAUACCUGAUAAAAAACUAGUAUCAUGUUUCUACGCACUACUCAGUGAUUUAUUGGAAGCAUUCUAGCAUUGCUGGCUGCAGAGGGUGCUCAACAUUUCCACUUCUGUGAUUUAUUUUUUAUAUUUUUUCUAUACAUGUUGUAUGAUUAUCCUCAGUCUUUCUAUGCGUAUACUCAAAACUUUCUCUGAUUUGUUACUACUAUUUUUAUACAUUGUUUGGAGCACAUUUUAUACAUUUUGUUGUUGGUUGGGUGUUAAGAUUUUUGCAUGCUGAUCCAAAGGAAAGAUAAUAGUUCUUAUAUUUGCAUGUAUAGAUUUUGAUGCAUGGUGAAACUGUGAUUAUGCUUAGUUGUAUUUGUUUCCACCCUAAUUGAUUUCAAAUUCUAAAUUUUGAAGAAGUCUUUAUACAUUGUGGAGCAGUCUUCUAUGCACUGUUAGAACAAUUCGACAUAUAUUGUUUGAAUAAUUAUCUCUAUGUACCUACGUAGCCUUGGAUUUUUAGUUCACAUGCAUUGUGGAGCACUUUUCUAUGCAUUGUUAGAAUAAUUAUCUGCGCACAAUUCUUCUAUGCUUAGUUGUAUGGGUUUUAUCUGAUUUUUGGUUGCAGCCUUGGAUGAAUAGGUGGUUUGCAUGAAAUGAAAAGCUAUCAACGCAAAACCAUUCUGGUGGCAAGUCCAUGCAUGAUGCAAUCUAUGGCCGCGGUGCUGGUAGUUCACGGUGGCGGCGCUAAUGCGAAUCAGCGGUGGUGGUCGGUUGGAUGGAAGAUAGCAAAGGAGCAGCGCGACACGACCAAGGAUUUUUGCAUUUUGUUUGUUGAAUUUGGUGUUCUUAUGCUUGUGUGCAUAAGUUUCUAUACACACAAUAGAGCACUUCUAUGCACUUUUGUAUUUUUAAUGCUUGUGAGCAUAAGUUUCUAUACAUUGUUGGAGUAGGUCUAUGUUGUUUUUAUGCAACAAAAAAUUCACUUUUUAUUCAUCAAAUUACUAAAUUCUAUGUAAUGUCGGCACGAAAAAUAUUUAAGUGUAUCUUGAUCAUUGAAUUUAUAAAUCUAGUCGUCUA